GACGGGGGAUGCAAGGGUUAUCCGGAAUCACUGGGCGUAAAGCGUCUGUAGGUGGUGAUGCAAGUCACUGGUGCAAAACUCUGGCUCAACCGGAGGAAAGCCAGUGAAACUGCAUGACUAGAGUGUGGGAGAGGUAGAAGGAAUUCCCUGAGUAGCGGUGAAAUGCGUAGAUACAGGGAAGAACACCGGAGGCGAAAGCGUUCUACUGGAACACAACUGACACUGAGCGACGAUAGCUAGGGGAGCGAAUGGG
rnacentral:rRNA from 1 species